rnacentral:rRNA from 1 species
AGCGCACGAGGCCUUUACUGACGCUAAAGCUCGAAGGUGCGGGUAUCGAACAGGAUUAGAUACCCUGGUAGUCCGCACGGUAAACGAUGGAUGCCCGCUGUUUGCGAUACACUGUGAGCGGCCAAGCGAAAGCGUUAAGCAUCCCACCUGGGGAGUACGCCGGCAACGGUGAAACUCAAAGGAAUUGACGGGGGCCCGCACAAGCGGAGGAACAUGUGGUUUAAUUCGAUGAUACGCGAGGAACCUUACCCGGGCUUGAACUGCCGGCGAACGAUACAGAGAUGUUGAGGCCCUUCGGGGCGCCGGCGGAGGUGCUGCAUGGUUGUCGUCAGCUCGUGCCGUGAGGUGUCGGCUUAAGUGCCAUAACGAGCGCAACCCCUCUCUUCAGUUGCCAUCAGGUUAAGCUGGGCACUCUGGAGACACUGCCACCGCAAGGUGUGAGGAAGGUGGGGAUGACGUCAAAUCAGCACGGCCCUUACGUCCGGGGCUACACACGUGUUACAAUGGGGGGCACAGAGAGCGGGGUGUGCGCAAGCUUGCCCAAAUCCUUAAAUCCCCCACAGUUCGGACUGGGGUCUGCAACCCGAGCCACGAAGCGGA